rnacentral:misc_RNA from 1 species
GAUGAAGAACGCAGCGAAAUGCGAUAAGUAAUGCGAAUUGCAGAAUUCAGUGAGUCAUCGAAUCUUUGAACGCACAUUGCGCCCUGUGGUAUUCCGCAGGGCAUGCCUCUUCGAGCGUCAUUUCAACCCUCAAGCUCUGCUUGGUGUUGGGCCCUGCCCGCUGCGGCCGGCCCUAAAGACAGUGGCGGUGCCGCCUGGCCCUGAGCGUAGUACAUCUCUCGCUCCAGUGCCCGGUGGUAGCCUGCCAGAACCCCAACUCUCGUGGUUGACCUCGGAUCAGGUAGGGAUACCCGCUGAACUUAAGCAUAUCAAUAAGCGGAGGA